AAACUAACAAGGAUUCCCCUAGUAACGGCGAGUGAACCGGGAAGAGCUCAAAUUUGAAAUCUGGCGUGCUCAGUGCGUCCGAGUUGUAAUCUAUAGAGGCGUUUUCCGUGCCGGACUGUGUCUAAGUCCCUUGGAACAGGGUAUCAAAGAGGGUGAUAAUCCCGUACUUGACACAAUGACCGGUGCUCUGUGAUACGUCUUCUACGAGUCGAGUUGUUUGGGAAUGCAGCUCAAAAUGGGUGGUGAGUUCCAUCUAAAGCUAAAUAUUGGCGAGAGACCGAUAGCGAACAAGUACCGUGAGGGAAAGAUGAAAAGCACUUUGGAAAGAGAGUUAAACAGUACGUGAAAUUGUUGAAAGGGAAACGAUUGAAGUCAGUCGUGACUGAGAGGCUCAGCCGGUUCUGCCGGUGUAUUCCCCUCAGUCGGGUCAACAUCAGUUUUGUUCGGUGGAUAAGGGCAGCUGGAAGGUGGCACCUCCGGGUGUGUUAUAGCCAGCUGUCGCAUACAUCGAAUGAGACUGAGGAAUGCAGCUCGCCUUUAUGGCCGGGGUUCGCCCACGUCCGAGCUUAGGAUGUUGACAUAAUGGCUUUAAACGACC
rnacentral:rRNA from 1 species